rnacentral:misc_RNA from 1 species
GAGUGGUGUUUGGUUUGUUACGUGUGGUUGGCUGCGGCGUUUGCAACAACUUCCAUGCUUUCAGACCUCUUCAGUUGUGCGGCAAGGCUUGUAUCGCCUUGAGCGUACUGUGGGUUUUCUGUGUUGGCUACCUAAUCAACGGUAUCGGUUGGAUUGAUCAAAGUUUGAUUUCGUCUUUCGUCGCAUUCGCGGCGUGAGGUGAACCUCGAUGCGGUCUCUUUGAUCCACCUUGUUGAAGCACUUGCUUCGACGUUGUGGCACAUUGAGCAUUGCUUGGUCUCUUGUAUACGGAACAUAUAGUGGGCAUGGAUCUAACGAUCCUCGUUUGCCCUCAUAUUAGCGUAACGCUUCUCUAACACGACUUGCGCCAUGUUUUAGCUCGUAC